ensembl:lncRNA
AAAAAAAAUUAAAAUUAAUAUAUAACCUUGUAUAAAAAUACCAUAUGAACCGUUAAUGCAGGAUUUGAAAAUGUUUUACAAGGCGUGAGGGCACAAAUUUAGAAGAAAAAGUGACAGUUUCCUUGACAGUUCUCAAAAGCUGCUUUUUUUCUAACAUCACGUCAUAUUACAUCACGAGAGGGAGUCGUGUGCUGAGUUCUGCUUUGAGUGGGCGUGAGUCAGCCAGCAGGACAUCGAGUCCACAGGUUUCCUAACAAGAAAUAGGAUGGUAUCUUCUAGGCAUGUGUGCGUUUGUGCGGGUGAAGAGAUGGGACUUCACUAAUGCAUCUGCUUUGAGAAACGGGGUGGUGUGUAACUUAGCGAUCACUUUACACCGGAGGAUUAUCAUCCCGGUGAUAUGAUGCAGUUCAACAUGGGAUACUGAAGCGAGAAACGAGUGAGACUCAGAGCUGAUGCACACAGCACUUUCAUCGGGUCCCGGGCCACCUCUGGCUCGGCCGCCGGCGGGAGACGUGAUGCUCACGGAUCCGUCAGAGAUGCUGCUCCACGAAAACGUCAACUGUGCACCGCUUUGGGAGACAUUGCAAGUAAUGAGGGAGUGUGAAAAUCUGAAACAGUGAAGGCCAGCUGUUAUUAACCACCUCUACUGGACUGCAUCUUCCGCUCCUAAUGGAGAAGCAGAUGUGAUGGAGGCCAUGUGGAAAAGCAGGGUCAACAGUGAAUGUGAUCUAAACGUUUGCUUGCUUCUCCCAGCAUAUGCAUCAGGCCUCAUGGAGUAUCAGAGAGGAAUACUGGAGGUCACCACAGGCUCCAGGAGAACGCAGCACUGACUCUUGUCUUCCACUACACCUGCUCCUCUUUCCAGAUCCCUCCAGCGGAUCAACAAGAUGAGGCUGUUGUUGUGUAUCUAGCACAGCAUUCACGAUUUAACACAUGUUAACAACACAUUAGUGUGAUACCCAGACUGAAAGAUUGUUAAAUGUUUUUAAAUGGGUCAGAUGGUAUAUUUUUCUUUCGGUUGUUUAUGUUUAUUACAUCUACGCACACAUAUAUAUAAAAAUAAACAAUUUUUUAUGCAGUAAGACA